CGGGACACGUGGUAUCCUGUCUGAAUAUGGGGGGACCAUCCUCCAAGGCUAAAUACUCCUGACUGACCGAUAGUGAACCAGUACCGUGAGGGAAAGGCGAAAAGAACCCCGGCGAGGGGAGUGAAAAAGAACCUGAAACCGUGUACGUACAAGCAGUGGGAGCACGCUUAGGCGUGUGACUGCGUACCUUUUGUAUAAUGGGUCAGCGACUUAUAUUCUGUAGCAAGGUUAACCGAAUAGGGGAGCCGAAGGGAAACCGAGUCUUAACUGGGCGUUAAGUUGCAGGGUAUAGACCCGAAACCCGGUGAUCUAGCCAUGGGCAGGUUGAAGGUUGGGUAACACUAACUGGAGGACCGAACCGACUAAUGUUGAAAAAUUAGCGGAUGACUUGUGGCUGGGGGUGAAAGGCCAAUCAAACCGGGAGAUAGCUGGUUCUCCCCGAAAGCUAUUUAGGUAGCGCCUCGUGAAUUCAUCUCCGGGGGUAGAGCACUGUUUCGGCAAGGGGGUCAUCCCGACUUACCAACCCGAUGCAAACUGCGAAUACCGGAGAAUGUUAUCACGGGAGACACACGGCGGGUGCUAACGUCCGUCGUGAAGAGGGAAACAACCCAGACCGCCAGCUAAGGUCCCAAAGUCAUGGUUAAGUGGGAAACGAUGUGGGAAGGCCCAGACAGCCAGGAUGUUGGCUUAGAAGCAGCCAUCAUUUAAAGAAAGCGUAAUAGCUCACUGGUCGAGUCGGCCUGCGCGGAAGAUGUAACGGGGCUAAACCAUGCACCGAAGCUGCGGCAGCGACGCUGAUGCGUUGUUGGGUAGGGGAGCGUUCUGUAAGCCUGUGAAGGUGUGCUGUGAGGCAUGCUGGAGG
rnacentral:rRNA from 1 species